rnacentral:lncRNA from 1 species
CUCGGUUGACGUCACUGCUAGCUGGCCCUUUGGUAUCCACGGUGAUGCGGCUGUCCAUCAUCCAUCACCGGAGACUGUGAAAAAUGUCAGUUCUUCAUAAAAGCUCCCAGCAUUGUGGCCUGAUCCCAGCCCUCUGGAACACUGAUGUUCAGGAAUGGGAAAUCAACUGCAUGAACCGCCUAGUCUUGGAGGAGGCCGAUGGCAGACAUGAUGAAGAGAAAGUGAAAAAAGAAAGCACAAAAGACUGUACAAGUUCUCUCAGCGAUGGACAACAAGAUGAAAAACCUUCACAAGAAGUUGGCAGGAACACUUCCAAGAAAGCAGCUCCAGGCUCUAGCACUAAAAAUGUUUUCACACGGCUGCUGAAAGUGGCUCAGCAUUACCUUUUGGAAUCGGGGAAGUACAGUGCGCCUGCCAGGUCUUCUCCUGCCAAGAGGAGCCCUGCCCUCGGCCGUCUCCCCAAAACCAGAAUCUCCACCUCCUUCACUCAGGCACAGGGUCGAACCAGGAGGAGCAGUAGCAGGCGUUCCCAAAAUUCCACUCUGGGUGGGGUGAAGAAGGAGCAGCUCCCUUCUCAAGAUUCUGAUGGAGGUGCUGCUGAAGACAGGUGUGUGAAAGAAAUAAAGACAGAACGCUAAACAAUCUGGCCCCUUUUGUGUUUAAAUAGGUUUAGUUCAAGAAGGAGCAGCUCCCUUCUCAAGAUUCUGAUGGAGGUGCUGCUGAAGACAGGUGUGUGAAAGAAAUAAAGACAAAACGCUAAACAAU